rnacentral:rRNA from 1 species
GAUGAACGCUGGCGGCGUGCCUAAUACAUGCAAGUCGAGCGAACAGACGAGGAGCUUGCUCCUCUGACGUUAGCGGCGGACGGGUGAGUAACACGUGGAUAACCUACCUAUAAGACUGGGAUAACUUCGGGAAACCGGAGCUAAUACCGGAUAAUAUCUUGAACCGCAUGGUUCAAUAGUGAAAGACGGUUUUGCUGUCACUUCUAGAUGGAUCCGCGCCGCAUUAGCUAGUUGGUAAGGUAACGGCUUACCAAGGCAACGAUGCGUAGCCGACCUGAGAGGGUGAUCGGCCACACGAGAGCGUAGACACGGUCCAGACUCCUACGGGAGGCAGCAGUAGGGAAUCUUCCGCAAUGGGCGGAAGCCUGACGGAGCAACGCCGCGUGAGUGAUGAAGAUCUUCGGAUCGUAAAACUCUGUUAUUAGGGAAGAACAAAUGUGUAAGUAACUAUGCACGUCUUGACGGUACCUAAUCAGAAAGCCACGGCUAACUACGUG